rnacentral:piRNA from 1 species
AGGCCUAAGUGACUGCCUCCUUUUCCUAGAA